rnacentral:lncRNA from 1 species
GAGCACAGGAGUUUGUCGGGUUGAGCGGUAGUAGAGCGGAAGUUUGGCGGCAGUGCCUCUUGGGGGCCUCUAGCGUGUAACACCCCGAGAAUCAUGCUACAGUAACUCUCUGUGAUUAAGCUAAUCAUGUUGCUAAACAGGGCUUGAUCACAUUUGAAUCACAUUUCUUUUCAAACUCCUAAUUCAAACUUCAAUUAAAUUUAAAGUGGAAAAUAAAAGUUUUCAAAAUUUUAAACAAAAAUGUUCGGGCCAUGCCAGAAAUUGCACUGAUAAUUAUUGUGGAGAAAACACAUUUUUAUAAAAUGCCUAAAUACCUUUAAAUGAAAUAAAACAGAAAAGAAAAUAAACAAAUAAAAUGAAAAUACAAAAGAGCUCAGAACAAACAAACAAACAAAAAAGAAGAAGGAGAAGGCCCCCCCACUGGACCCCUGGCCCAACUGGGCCGACCCUGGCCCAGCCGGCCUAGCCCACCUCUCCCACUCGCCCUCCCCUUCCCUGUUCCCCCGACCGGGGUCGGAACAGGGGCCGGUCCCCGCCGCACCCCAUNNNNNNNNNNNNNNNNNNNNNNNNNNNNNNNNNNNNNNNNNNNNNNNNNNNNNNNNNNNNNNNNNNNNNNNNNNNNNNNNNNNNNNNNNNNNNNNNNNNNNNNNNNNNNNNNNNNNNNNNNNNNNNNNNNNNNNNNNNNNNNNNNNNNNNNNNNNNNNNNNNNNNNNNNNNNNNNNNNNNNNNNNNNNNNNNNNNNNNNNNNNNNNNNNNNNNNNNNNNNNNNNNNNNNNNNNNNNNNNNNNNNNNNNNNNNNNNNNNNNNNNNNNNNNNNNNNNNNNNNNNNNNNNNNNNNNNNNNNNNNNNNNNNNNNNNNNNNNNNNNNNNNNNNNNNNNNNNNNNNNNNNNNNNAGCGCCUCUCCCUUCCCCCCCCAGAUCCACGUCGCUCCCUCCUUCCCCACGCCCGACGCGGUCGCCGCCGUUCUCCGUCGUUCACGCGGCCACCGAGCCCCGUUCUACCAGGAGUAGUUAGGAGGAUCCCAGGCAGGAGGCCUGCGCCUCGUUCGAUCUGUAUCCCAGUUUGUGCUAGCCUUCUUAAGGCAAACUUGUUUAACUUAUGUCUGUACUCAGAUAUUGUUGCUUCCGCUGACUCGUCUGUGAUCGAGCACUUGUAUUCGAGCCCUCGAGGCCCCUGGCUUGUAUUAUGAUGCUUGUCUGACUUAUUUAUGUUGUAGAGUUGUGUUGUGAUAUCUUCCCGUGAGUCCCUGAUCUUGAUCGUACACAUUUGCGUGCAUGAUUAGUGUACGGUCCAAUCGGGGGCGUCACAAGUUGGUAUCAGAGCCGACUGCCUGUAGGAAUACCCCUUUCCACACUCCUUGGCCGAAGUCGAGUCUAGACAUUACAAAACUUUUACGAACAUGGUUGUGUGUCUUACGGGCCCACGUCGCCAUUGGGUGGUACUAGGAUCUUUUACUCCUCGACCUUUACUCUGGGACUCUGAACUCCCUUCUACUCGGGUUAAACGAAUUUACUAACUCUAACACUAGGAUCCCGUGACCGCAUUCACCCCAAAGUUGGAUAAGCCAUAGUUGUUUCUUAGAGUAGUAUUUUGAACAAUUCACACACUGUCAUUUGACUCCUUUGAAACGUCUUUGCUUUCAGAUGGAACCCACGAGGCAGGUCGUUCGCCACACGAUGGCCAUUAGUGCCUCGGGAUCACCUGCGGUGCUAGCUGAGAUGAUGACCUAUCUGGGUUAUCGCUGGCACCCUGAGUACACCGUCUACGAGGAGUACCAGGACUUUAACCAGGAGCAGUACCGCGCCAUCGUCCACCUCUACUCGCGGGAGUAUGACUCCACUACUGUGCUGCACACCGCACAUGGUGUUGGUGUGACCAUCGAUAUGGCUGUCCACGAUGCUGCCUAUGCUGCUCUGACACGUCUUCGUGGAGAGUAUCGGGAGUUGGACACCUCCCCUUUCAGGCACAUUGCUAUCGCAUCUGAUGUUGGUGCGGAGGGAUACUAUACUGCUGCCUACUCCACUGUCACCCGAGAGCCCUUCUACCAUCAGAACCUGGUUCUGCAUGCUGAUGGGCUAGAUCGAGCUAACUGAGCUCUUCGCCACGAGAUGUACACCACCCGUCAGCACCUUUACCGUGCUCUGACGCUGCUGCACCCCUUUGUCCGAUCUGGACAGGUACCGCGUACUGCGAUCUACCCAGCCAGGACCGUGAUGCCCCACGGUGUCGGUUGGCCAGAGGUGGGAGGCUACUCCCCUGCACUUGGUCCUCUUCUGCCACCUGAGCGUCGGGCUCUACACCUGAGUAUCCGCGGCCCCCAGUCUGCUGACGUGGAGGGCUAUCCGUUGCCUCACUUCCAGCUGCCGGGCUACGAUUACCUCCACAGUACCUCUUGGGACUGAUGUAGGCUUGCUUAGUUAGUAUUAGUUGCAGUCGCCGCGAGCCUGUGUGCCGCCUAUGAUGUUUUAGUCCAUGUACUGAACUCUGUGUACUGAACUCUAUGCAUGCCCCCUUUUGUAAGAUAUGCCGACUACUAUGUAGUAGCUAUCGUGCUCCUUUCGUUAUGCAUGUUUCAUCAUGAAUGAUUCUUGUCUUUGCACAUAUUUCUCAAUGCUGAACUACCCCUGUUAUAUAUUAGCAGGAUGGUUAGACCAGGUGGUCGUGGUCGUGGUGGCGAUGCCCCACCACCACCUGAGUACAUGGCUGGUAUGAUCCAACAGUUUGAACUGAACCGCCAGUUCAUGGAAAAUAUGAUGGCUCAGUUUCCUCGCCCCAAUAUGAACCAGCAGCCAGCCCAAGUGACUCUUCAAGAUUUCAUACACCUCAACCCAACCAUCUACCGCAGCUCAACUCAGCCUCUGGAUGCUGAUGACUGGCUCCGUGACAUCACCUAUGAGAUGGAGUCUGCCGAUGUAGCCCCUGCCAGCUAUGUCAACUUUGCUUCCUUCUUUCUGAAGGGACCCGCAGCUCAAUGGUGGGACAGCCACAGGCGUACUCUGCCAGCUGGAACAAUCAUCACCUGGCCAGACUUCCAAGCUGCUUUCCGUGCCCGCUUCAUUCCUCAGGGAGUCAUGGACCGGAAGAAGCGUGAGUUCCGCAACCUCACCCAAGGCAACAAAACUGUCGAAGCUUAUCAGCGGGAGUUUCUGGACUUGUCCCGCUAUGCUGAAGAAGACAUUGCAACUGAUGCACGCAGACAGGAGAAGUUCCGUGAUGGACUACAAGCUGACAUCAAGCUCGCACUUCUAGUACAUGACUUUGCCGAUUUCGCCACCUUGGUGAAUAAGGCCAUCAAUGUCGAGACUGGUCUGCAGGAAUACCAGAGCUCUCAGAGGCGCAACCAUGACACGGGCUCAUCUUCGGGCUCGCCCUCACAGAAGCGUAAGAUAUGGAUCCCGAACAGCAUGUAUCAUCCAAAUGCACCUGCUCCAAGGAAAUCUUAUGCUGCACCGCGUCUGCCUCCUCCACCAUCUAGGCAGUCAAAGCUACCAGCUCCCCCACCUGGGGCUCCUGUUCCCACUCCCGAUAAUGGUCUGUGCUUCAAGUGUGGUCAACUGGGUCACUUUGCCAGGAACUGCUAUCAGAACCAGAAUCAACUGGCCCUUCCAGCAGCUGGCCGUGGUAACAACCAGCCCCGCAACAACAAUGCUAAGUCUUAUGGUCGUGCUCAUGCCAACCACGUUGAUCUCAGCGAAGCUCAAGACCAGCCUGCUACUGUGAUGGGUACACUCCUCGUAAAUUCAGUACUAGCAUCCGUUUUAUUUGAUACAGGAGCAUCCCAUUCAUUCAUAUCAGCAGAAUUUGCAUUCCUGCAUGGCAUUAAUUACGAAGAGAUAAACACUCCGCUAGUGGUACACACCCCUGCGGGCCAAUGUCAAACCUCUAUGGUUAGUCACGACGUUACUGUUGAAAUUGAAGGACUGGAAUUUCUUGUCUCUCCCAUCGUACUGAAGUCCUGUAGCAUUGAUCUCAUUCUGGGAAUGAAUUCGUUAAAAGCGCAUACUGCUUCAAUCCUUUGCACCACUAAGACCGUCCAUCUGCUACACCCUUCAGAUGAGAUAGUUACUUGCCAAGCCCAUCUGGUGCAAAAUGCCGAGGCAAGGCUCUAUGCAUUGAAUGCAUUGAACGCUGCACCACUCGAGGGCAUUGAAAACAUUCCCGUCGUGCGUGAAUUCCUCGACGUCUUCCCUGAAGAACUUCCAGGGAUUCCCCCUGCUAGAGCUGUCGAAUUCAUCAUCGACUUGAAACCAGGCACCACUCCUAUAGCCAAGCGACCCUACAAAAUGCCGCCGCAUGAACUCCUUGAGCUUAAGGAGGAAAUCGACAAAUCUCUUCGCAAAGGGUUCAUUCGCCCAAGUUGCUCUCCUUGGGGAGCACCUUCUCUCUUUGUCAAGAAGAAGGAUGGGACAAACCGGUUAGUUCAAGACUACCGUCCUAUAAACCAAGCUACCAUUCAGAAUAAAUACCCUCUUCCUCGGAUCAAUGAUCUGUAUGAUCAACUGGCGGGUUCGUCAGUGUUCUCUAAGCUCGACUUGAGGUUGGGCUACUACCAGAUCCGUGUUCGAGAAGAGGAUAUCCCAAAGACCGCCUUCGUGACUCGCUAUGGUUCAUACGAGUACACCGUCAUGUCUUUCGGUUUAACCAAUGCUCCAGCCACCUUCUCUCGUCUGAUGAACUAUAUAUUCAAGGAUUACCUCGACAAGUUCGUCGUGGUUUAUCUGGAUGAUAUCCUGGUAUUUUCCAAGAACGAAGAAGAACAUGCUGAACAUCUUCGACUUGUGCUGGAAAAGCUACGAGGACAUCAACUAUAUGCCAAGUUCUCCAAAUGUGAAUUCUGGCUACCGGAAGUAACCUAUCUUGGGCAAGUCAUCUCUAAGGAUGGUAUUGCCGUCAACCCUGAGCAAGUUCAGGCUAUUCUUGAUUGGACUCCUCCCAAGAACGUUAAGCAAGUCAGAAGUUUUCUCGGUCUCGCCAGCUAUUGCCGUCGAUUCGUCGAGAACUUCUCUAAGAUCGCCCGGCCUCUGACUAACCUGUUGCAUAAGGGUGUCAAGUUCCAAUGGACAGACAAGUGUCAGGAAAGUUUCCAGGCACUCAAAGACAAGUUGACUUCUGCUCCAGUUCUAGCUCCACCUGAUACUAAGAAGGACUUUGUCAUUUAUUGCGACGCUUCCCGUCAAGGAUUAGGCUGUGUCCUAAUGCAAGAUCGCAAAGUGAUUGCUUAUGCCUCUCGGCAAUUGCGCCGUCACGAAGAGAACUACCCAGUUCACGACCUCGAACUUGCUGCUGUCAUUCAUGCGCUGAAGCAGUGGCGACAUUACCUUCUCGGUAAUCGUUGCGAGAUCUUCACCGACCACCAAAGUCUGAAGUAUCUGUUUACUCAGCCAGACCUGAACCUCCGUCAGCAGAGAUGGAUGGAGCUUGUUGCAGACUUCGACUUGGGUAUUUCCUAUACGCCAGGCAAGGCUAAUGUAAUGGUUGAUGCCUUGAGCCGCAAGUCUUACUGCAACCACCUCCAGGUUCACAAAGUUCAGCCCUCGCUUGUUGAAGAAUUCAGGAAGCUGAACCUCCAUAUUGUUCCUCCGGGUGCACUCGCUCCCCCUCCUAAGGAGUUUGGCAAGGUGAACCUCCACGUUGUUACCCAGGGUUCCCUCAAUACCCUAAACCAGAUCUCGAGGACAGCAUCAAAAGGCUACAGAAGUAUGACUCUGAAGCCCACAAGAUUAAGCGCUACCUCGCAGAAGGAAAGCCCUCAUUCUUCACCAUUGCUGAAGAUGGCACCUUAUACUUCAAGGGCCUGGUGGUGCCAUGUGCAGAGAAAAACCUGGAUAUGACACAGGUAGUUAUGAAAGAAGCUCAUGAUACGCCUCUAUGUAUCCAUCCUGGUAGUACAAAGAUGUACCAAGACAUCCGUCAGAGAUUCUGGUGGUCUAAUAUGAAGCAAGCCAUUGCUCGUUAUGUUGCUGAGUGUGACGUUUGCCGUCGUAUCAAAGCAGAACAUCAAAGGCCUGCAUGAACUCUGCAACCUAUCUCUAUUCCUGAAUGGAAAUGGGACCAUGUUGAGAUGGACUUCGUCACUGGAUUUCCCAAAUCACAGAAAGGUAAUGAUGCUAUUCUUGUCGUCAUUGACCGGCUUUCCAAAGUUGCACAUUUCCUGGCGGUCAAAGAAACGAUCACUGCUAGCCAGUUGGCAACGCUCUAUAUGUCCAGGAUUGUUUCACUCCACGGUAUUCCAUUGGUUAUCAGCUCAGACCGUGGCAGCUUAUUCACUUCAAGAUUCUGGGCAAGUUUCCAGGAAGCUAUGGGAACUCAUCUGUCAUUCAGUACUGCGUUUCAUCCUCAAUCGCAAGGGCAAGUUGAACGCGUCAACCAAGUCCUCGAAGAUAUGCUUCGAGCUUGUGUUAUUUCCUUCGGCAAGAAAUGGGAGGAAUCUCUCCCGUAUGCUGAGUUCUCUUAUAAUAAUAGCUAUCAAGCUAGUCUGAAGAUGGCCCCCUUCGAAGUGUUAUAUGGACGAAAGUGUUGAACCCCUCUGAACUGGUCAGAAACUGGGGAACGUCCACUCUUUGGCCCGGAUAUUAUCCAAGAUGCCGAAGAACAAGUCCGCAUUAUUCGCGAGAAUCUCAAGACUGCUCAGUCACGUCAGAAGAGUCAGUAUGACCGUCAUCAUAAGGACAUGGUCUAUCAACCUGGCGAAAAGGCUUAUCUUCGAGUCACACCUAUGAAGGGUGCUCACCGCUUCGGAAUCAAGGGCAAACUAGCUCCUCGAUAUAUUGGCCCAUUCCUUAUUCUCGAAAGGCGUGGAAAAGUGGCAUACCAACUGGAGCUACCGCCGAACCUUUCUCAGGUUCACGAUGUGUUCCAUGUGUCACAGCUCCGCCGUUGCUUCAAGGAUCCAAUCCGAGCUGUGGAUCAUGAAGUGCUCGAAUUGCAGCAAGACCUCUCCUAUAAGGAGCAUCCGGUCCGCAUUCUCGACCAAGCUGAACGCCGCACACGUCAGAAGGCGAUCAAGUUUCUCAAAGUCCAGUGGUCGCACCAUUCUGAAGAUGAGGCCACUUGGGAACGAGAGGAUCGUCUGCGCGAAGAAUACCCCGCACUGUUUCCUUCUACCUCCUAAAUCUCGGGACGAGAUUUCUUGUAGUGGAGGAGAUUUGUAACACCCCGAGAAUCAUGCUACAGUAACUCUCUGUGAUUAAGCUAAUCAUGUUGCUAAAUAGGGCUUGAUCACAUUUGAAUCACAUUUCUUUUCAAACUCCUAAUACAAACUUCAAUUAAAUUUAAAGUGGAAAAUAAAAGUUUUCAAAAUUUUAAACAAAAAUGUUCGGGCCAUGCCAGAAAUUGCACUGAUAAUUAUUGUGGAGAAAACACAUUUUUAUAAAAUGCCUAAAUACUUUUAAAUGAAAUAAAACAGAAAAGAAAAUAAACAAAUAAAAGGAAAAUACAAAAGAG